rnacentral:tRNA from 2 species
GCCCGGGUAGCUCAGUUGGUAGAGCAGGGGAUUGAAAAUCCCCGUGUCGGCGGUUCGAUUCCGUCCCCGGGCA